UACGUAGGGUGCGAGCGUUAAUCGGAAUUACUGGGCGUAAAGGGCUCGUAGGCGGCCAACUAAGUCCGACGUGAAAUCCCCAAGCUUAACUUGGGAACUGCGUCGGAUACUGGAUGGCUUGAAUUCGGGAGAGGGAUGCAGAAUUCCAGGUGUAGCGGUGAAAUGCGUAGAUAUCUGGAGGAAUACCGGUGGCGAAGGCGGCAUCCUGGACCGACAUUGACGCUGAGGAGCGAAAGCUAGGGGAGCAAACGGG
rnacentral:rRNA from 1 species